rnacentral:rRNA from 1 species
CAGUCGUACUUACGGGUAAUCAGCCUCUUGGGUGUGAUUUUGUGGAGCGUGAGGAGUUAAACGCCUUUCAUGCCUGCAUAUUCGUGCACUUUGGGUGUACUUGCCCGUGUGUAAGUUAACAUCAAUUUUGGUGGUCAUAAAAUGGCUGGAGGAAUGUAGCUUCGAUCUUGUAUUGAAGUGUUAUAGACUCUGGUAGAUGUGGUGAUCGAGAUUGAGGAUUGGCAACGGAUACCCUUCGGGGCUACCUGUCUGGUCUCUGAUCGUUGCUCUGGUGCCGAAAGCUUGCUUACGGUUAUCAAAGUCGGUGGUCAAUAGGUUAGGAUGGGUUAAAUUCGUUAAGG